GUUUUCUUUUGCUGGCCAACAAGCCCAACUUUACACACCAUCAAGCCCAAUCCACACUCCUUGGCCCAAUUUCCACCGCAUCUUCCCACACUCCAUCCACACCACCAUUCCCGUUCCCCUCCUGCGUCCGAGCGGUCGCUUCUCCCCGCGCCGCCAGAAACUGCGACCGCGGCACCGGCGCCUCACCUUCCAGAUCCUGCGUAGCGUCGUGGUUCCCCGCCAGCUCUUGGACUGCUCGCCUCCAAACGGAAACCACCGUUCACAUCGAGCAAACUUUAUGGCUGUCAUCAAGAUAGUUGUUGUCUCCUCAACUUCAAGAAACUAUCUUCUUCCACAUCUUGCUCGGUCGAGUCCUCACACGCUGCCCGAUUCACUUCCUACUGCAUCGAAAACCAUAGUUCCGUUCAUUUUCCCUGCCUUUAAAGUUUCAGCCACCUCCUCACCUUCAAGAAACCUCAGGGGUAUAUAUUCCUCUACCAAAGAUUAUCAACGGAUUAAGGACAUACGAGUAUUGAUUUGGUUUCAGCUCUUCUUCAGAUUUCCACUGUCCCAAUAUUUAUUUGGAUUCGUCUCUUCUUCAGAUUUGUACUGUCCCUAUUCAAUAGGAUUGAAAUUUAUUUGGAUUUGUCACUUCAUAUUUCUACUGUCCCUAUUCAACACGACUGACAUUUAUUUGGAUUUGUCUCUUCUUCAGAUUUAUACUGUCCCUAUUCAACAACAUUGAAAUUUAUUUAGUAUGUACAAUUUGUUAAAGGUGCCAAUUCAUGAUCAUGGUAUUAUAUGACGACUCUAAAGAUCAUAUAUAUGCAUAUACCGGUUUUAUGUAUUGCUGCACCUUAAUUUGUUUUAUUUCUGAAUACUACGGUUGCAGAUCAUUGCUAUUAGUAGAUUAUAUACUGUCGUUGUAGUAGCAGCUCUGGGCUACCGCUGAGGUCAGUCGCCAUGGCCAUCCAAAGCAGCAGUUGCAGCAUAUAUUUCCUCCGAUAUGAAUCCUCUAUUAAGAAAAAUAUCAACAAUACAAUCGGUAAUGUUUAAUUUUCUCAUCUUCAUUCAUGGUCAUGUUUUCCAAAUAUUAUAUUAUGCCCACCCGACGUUACUUGCUUUGCAAUUUCUUCCAUAAGAACAAAUGAACAAUAUCAUAUUUUCUGCAGACUAUCAGGGACUGAGUUCAGCAAUGAACUUAAUUUAGGUAAAUAUUGGUCCUUGGAAGUUUUCAUUUUUUUUAGAUGAAGGGCAACGCCCUCUGCAUCCUAUGGUGGAUGCACCUUGCAUCUGUCCAUGCUAACCUUCUUUGCUAUAUGAUGUUCUUACUUAACAUCUUUCCCUUCUUUCUUAGUAGAAUAUAAAGGAUGUUCUUUGUAAUAGUACACAAUUUAACAUUUUGUCAAACAAUAAGGGAUUCAGCAUGUAUGUUUCUAUCGACA